rfam:Tupaia chinensis contig82779, whole genome shotgun sequence.
GUGCUUGCUUCAGUAACACAUAUACUAAAAUUGGAAUGGUACAGAGAAGAUUAGCAUGGCCUCUGCACAAGGAAGAUACCCAAAUUCAUGAAGAAUUUAAUAUAUUU